rnacentral:rRNA from 1 species
UACGGAGGGUGCAAGCGAUGUUCGGAAUUAUUGGGCGUAAAGAGCGCGUAGGCGGUCCUUUAAGUCAGAUGUGAAAGCCCAGGGCUCAACCCUGGAAGUGCAUUUGAAACUAAAGGACUUGAGUAUGGGAGAGGGAAGUGGAAUUCCUGGUGUAGCGGUGAAAUGCGUAGAUAUCAGGAGGAACACCGGUGGCGAAGGCGACUUCCUGGACCAAUACUGACGCUGAGGCGCGAAGGCGUGGGGAGCAAACAGG